rnacentral:rRNA from 1 species
AACGCUGGCGGCGUGCUUAACACAUGCAAGUCGAGUGCGCGUCCGUAGCAAUACGGAUGGCGCACGGCGCACGGGUGAGUAACACGUGGGCAAUCUGCCCUCGGAUGGGGGAUAACUCGUCGAAAGGCGAGCUAAUACCGCAUGACAUUCCGAAGACUCCGGUCUUUGGAUUCAAAGGCCGCAAGGCCGUCUGAGGAGGAGCCCGCGCCCGAUUAGCUAGUUGGUGAGGUAACGGCUCACCAAGGCUUUGAUCGGUAGCCGGUCUGAGAGGAUGGCCGGCCACACUGGAACUGAGACACGGUCCAGACUCCUACGGGAGGCAGCAGUGGGGAAUAUUGCGCAAUGGGCGAAAGCCUGACGCAGCGACGCCGCGUGGGGGAUGAAGCUUCUCGGAGUGUAAACCCCUUUCGACCCGGACGAAUGACCCGCAAGGGUUUGACGGUACGGGUAUAAGAAGCCCCGGCUAACUACGUGCCAGCAGCCGCGGUAAUACGUAGGGGGCCAGCGUUGCUCGGAAUUACUGGGCGUAAAGGGUUCGUAGGUGGUGCGGUAAGUUGGAAGUGAAAUCUCUGGGCUUAACCCAGAGGCUGCUUUCAAAACUGUCGCGCUCGAGUGCGAGAGAGGUCAGUGGAAUUGCAGGUGUAGCGGUGAAAUGCGUAGAUAUCUGCAGGAACACCCGUGGCGAAGGCGGCUGACUGGAUCGCAACUGACACUGAGGAACGAAAGCUAGGGGAGCAAACAGGAUUAGAUACCCUGGUAGUCCUAGCCCUAAACCAUCGGAACUUGGGGUGGCCCGCGUAGGCGGGUCGUCCCGUAGCUAACGCGUUAAGUUCCGCGCCUGGGGAGUACGGUCGCAAGACUGAA